rnacentral:misc_RNA from 1 species
AAGUCGUAACAAGGUUUCCGUAGGUGAACCUGCGGAAGGAUCAUUAGUGAAAAAUUUGUGGACCCUCAUGCAAUCAAACAUGACGGGGACCCAACCUUCUCACUACACCGGAGAGGGGCUGUCUUAGGAUGGCCUUGAUCCGAGGGUACUCCAAUCUGUUGAAGGGCCUUGGAUGGGUAACGUCCGAGGCCCUGGAUAGGAUGCCCGCUAAGCUGGGAGCUCUGCCCUCGGCGCUUUCUUUAGAAUCAACAGUUUUGUAUGUCUAUGUAUUUGUUUUUAAACCAAUACAACUUUCAGCAACGGAUCUCUUGGCUCUC